rnacentral:rRNA from 1 species
GGACGAAAUUAGACGAAUCAUCUGAAAAGAUGAAUCAAAGAAGGUAAUAAUCCUGUAGUCGAAAAUGUUGUCUAUCUUGAGUGGCUCCUGAGUACGACGGAGCACGAGAAAUUCCGGCGGAAUAUGGGAGGACCAUCUCCGAAGGAUAAAUACUCUCUAGAGACCGAUAGCGAACCAGUACCGUGAGGGAACGGUGACAAGCUCCCCGGAAGGGGAGUGAAAAAGAACCUGAAACCGGGUGAUUACAAA